rnacentral:rRNA from 1 species
UACGGAGGGUGCGAGCGUUGUCCGGAAUCACUGGGCGUAAAGGGCGCGUAGGCGGCGCGGGGAGUCAACGGUGAAAGCUCGGCGCUCAACGCCGAGUCGGCCGUCGAUACUCCCCGUGCUCGAGCACUGUAGAGGCAGGUGGAAUUCCGGGGUGUAGCGGUGGAAUGCGUAGAGAUCCGGAAGAACACCGGUGCGAAGGCGGAACUCUCUGGGCUGUAACGUGAC